rnacentral:lncRNA from 1 species
GCAGUGAAAGAAGAGGGGCAGGGUCAGAGCCUGGAAGAUUCUGUUAGGCCAUGCCCACAUUGUUUGCAGUUCACUCAACUGUUUUUGACACGUUGUUUUUGUAAAUAAUGAUGCCAAGGGAAACAUUUGUGAGGGAAAGAGAUGAAAGAGGUGCUAAAGAUGUUUCAGAGAUGUAUGACAAACAGUGCUCACACCGUGCUCUCUUGUCUUCUACAUAAGGAGUAAUAUUCCAGGACUUUGAAGAUCCAUGGAAAGUCAGUAGGAAGUCUUGCCUCUUGUUUGCCACUGCUGUCACUCCACUACCAUUCACCUGAAAAAUGUUACUACUCUAGUGAUUUACAAGACAGGUAAAAUGUGGAUUUAUUGUGUGCAUUGUAGCUCUGCUGUAAUCAUAGUUCUCUAGUAAAAGUGUGAGAUUACUUUGAUGCAUCACAGGACAACAUGACAGGCAAUAAUUUAUGUCAAAUGGCAUUAGAUGUAAGUGGUCAAAGGCAAAAUGUUGUGUCUGCUCUGUGUUUUGCUGUUUAGUUAGUACAUCCUAAGCAGGAUAUGCAAAUGUUUUUGCACACAUUUACAAAGCUAGAAAUAAGAUGGGGGAUUGGGAGUAGUCAUAUGACUUAGACCGGUGAGUAAAGGACUAAGAGGCAUCACUUGCUUCCAUAUCCCCUUAAAUAAAUCACAUGCUGCAGUAUGCCGACGAGCA